ACCCUGUUAGCUCAGUGGUAGAGCGUGGCCCUCUCCCCUCUCUUCCGCUAUCUAAAUUCCUAAAUCUUCUUUCCGCUCCGAUCCUAGGAACUUGAUGGCAAGACGCUGGUUCGAUUCCAGCACGGGCUA
rnacentral:tRNA from 1 species